rnacentral:rRNA from 1 species
GGGGGGGGGGGGGGGGGGGGGGGGGGGGGGGGGGGGGGGGGGGGGGGGGGGGGUUGGGGGGGGGGCGCGGGGGGCGGACGGGGGGGUAGCACGUGGGUAACCUGCCCGUGACUUUGGGAUAACUUCAGGAAACUGGGGCUAAUACCGGAUCGGAGCUCCUGCUGCAGGGUGGGGGUUGGAAAGUUUCGGCGGUUGGGGAUGGACUCGCGGCUGAUCAGCUUGUUGGUGGGGUAGUGGCUUACCAGGGCUUUGACGGGUAGCCGGCCUGGGAGGGUGACCGGCCACAUUGGGACUGAGAUACGGCCCAGACUCCUACGGGAGGCAGCAGUGGGGAAUAUUGCACAAUGGGCGGAAGCCUGAUGCAGCAACGCCGCGUGCGGGAUGACGGCCUUCGGGUUGUAAACCGCUUUCGCCUGUGACGAAGCGUGAGUGACGGUAAUGGGUAAAGAAGCACCGGCUAACUACGUG